rnacentral:rRNA from 1 species
GGGUUGUGAGGUUAAGCGACUAAGCGUACACGGUGGAUGCCCUGGCAGUCAGAGGCGAUGAAGGGCGUGCUAAUCUGCGAUAAGCGCCGGUAAGGUGAUAUGAACCGUUAUAACCGGCGAUACCCGAAUGGGGAAACCCAGUGUGAUUCGUCACACUAUCAUUAACUGAAUCCAUAGGUUAAUGAGGCGAACCGGGGGAACUGAAACAUCUAAGUACCCCGAGGAAAAGAAAUCAACCGAGAUUCCCCCAGUAGCGGCGAGCGAACGGGGAGGAGCCCAGAGCCUGAAUCAGCAUGUGUGUUAGUGGAAGCGUCUGGAAAGGCGCGCGAUACAGGGUGACAGCCCCGUACACAAAAGCGCAUGUGCUGUGAGCUCAAUGAGUAGGGCGGGACACGUGGUAUCCUGUCUGAAUAUGGGGGGACCAUCCUCCAAGGCUAAAUACUCCUGACUGACCGAUAGUGAACCAGUACCGUGAGGGAAAGGCGAAAAGAACCCCGGCGAGGGGAGUGAAAAAGAACCUGAAACCGUGUACGUACAAGCAGUGGGAGCCCCACCACUAAGCCAGUGGUGAACUCCACAUACGCAUCCUUUGCUGAGGAUACGGUUAACGGAGCGAAAGCGACGUUCAACCGCAAAAGAAGCAGAGGGGGCUUAGUGGUGGGGUGACUGCGUACCUUUUGUAUAAUGGGUCAGCGACUUAUAUUCUGUAGCAAGGUUAACCGCAUAGGGGAGCCGCAGGGAAACCGAGUCUUAACCGGGCGUUAAGUUGCAGGGUAUAGACCCGAAACCCGGUGAUCUAGCCAUGGGCAGGUUGAAGGUUGGGUAACACUAACUGGAGGACCGAACCGACUAAUGUUGAAAAAUUAGCGGAUGACCUGUGGCUGGGGGUGAAAGGCCAAUCAAACCGGGAGAUAGCUGGUUCUCCCCGAAAGCUAUUUAGGUAGCGCCUCGUGAACUCAUCUCCGGGGGUAGAGCACUGUUUCGGCUAGGGGGCCAUCCCGGCUUACCAACCCGAUGCAAACUGCGAAUACCGGAGAAUGUUAUCACGGGAGACACACGGCGGGUGCUAACGUCCGUCGUGAAGAGGGAAACAACCCAGACCGCCAGCUAAGGUCCCAAAGUCAUGGUUAAGUGGGAAACGAUGUGGGAAGGCCCAGACAGCCAGGAUGUUGGCUUAGAAGCAGCCAUCAUUUAAAGAAAGCGUAAUAGCUCACUGGUCGAGUCGGCCUGCGCGGAAGAUGUAACGGGGCUAAACCAUGCACCGAAGCUGCGGCAGCGACACUGUGUGUUGUUGGGUAGGGGAGCGUUCUGUAAGCCUGCGAAGGUGGCCUGUGAGGGUUGCUGGAGGUAUCAGAAGUGCGAAUGCUGACAUAAGUAACGAUAAAGCGGGUGAAAAGCCCGCUCGCCGGAAGACCAAGGGUUCCUGUCCAACGUUAAUCGGGGCAGGGUGAGUCGACCCCUAAGGCGAGGCCGAAAGGCGUAGUCGAUGGGAAACGGGUUAAUAUUCCCGUACUUGGUGUUACUGCGAAGGGGGGACGGAGAAGGCUAUGUUGGCCGGGCGACGGUUGUCCCGGUUUAAGCGUGUAGGCUGGUUUUCCAGGCAAAUCCGGAAAAUCAAGGCUGAGGCGUGACGACGAGGCACUACGGUGCUGAAGCAACAAAUGCCCUGCUUCCAGGAAAAGCCUCUAAGCAUCAGGUAACAUCAAAUCGUACCCCAAACCGACACAGGUGGUCAGGUAGAGAAUACCAAGGCGCUUGAGAGAACUCGGGUGAAGGAACUAGGCAAAAUGGUGCCGUAACUUCGGGAGAAGGCACGCUGACACGUAGGUGAAGUGAUUUACUCACGGAGCUGAAGUCAGUCGAAGAUACCAGCUGGCUGCAACUGUUUAUUAAAAACACAGCACUGUGCAAACACGAAAGUGGACGUAUACGGUGUGACGCCUGCCCGGUGCCGGAAGGUUAAUUGAUGGGGUCAGCGCAAGCGAAGCUCCUGAUCGAAGCCCCGGUAAACGGCGGCCGUAACUAUAACGGUCCUAAGGUAGCGAAAUUCCUUGUCGGGUAAGUUCCGACCUGCACGAAUGGCGUAAUGAUGGCCAGGCUGUCUCCACCCGAGACUCAGUGAAAUUGAACUCGCUGUGAAGAUGCAGUGUACCCGCGGCAAGACGGAAAGACCCCGUGAACCUUUACUAUAGCUUGACACUGAACAUUGAGCCUUGAUGUGUAGGAUAGGUGGGAGGCUUUGAAGUGUGGACGCCAGUCUGCAUGGAGCCGACCUUGAAAUACCACCCUUUAAUGUUUGAUGUUCUAACGUGGACCCGUUACCCGGGUUGCGGACAGUGUCUGGUGGGUAGUUUGACUGGGGCGGUCUCCUCCUAAAGAGUAACGGAGGAGCACGAAGGUUGGCUAAUCCUGGUCGGACAUCAGGAGGUUAGUGCAAUGGCAUAAGCCAGCUUGACUGCGAGCGUGACGGCGCGAGCAGGUGCGAAAGCAGGUCAUAGUGAUCCGGUGGUUCUGAAUGGAAGGGCCAUCGCUCAACGGAUAAAAGGUACUCCGGGGAUAACAGGCUGAUACCGCCCAAGAGUUCAUAUCGACGGCGGUGUUUGGCACCUCGAUGUCGGCUCAUCACAUCCUGGGGCUGAAGUAGGUCCCAAGGGUAUGGCUGUUCGCCAUUUAAAGUGGUACGCGAGCUGGGUUUAGAACGUCGUGAGACAGUUCGGUCCCUAUCUGCCGUGGGCGCUGGAGAACUGAGGGGGGCUGCUCCUAGUACGAGAGGACCGGAGUGGACGCAUCACUGGUGUUCGGGUUGUCAUGCCAAUGGCAUUGCCCGGUAGCUAAAUGCGGAAGAGAUAAGUGCUGAAAGCAUCUAAGCACGAAACUUGCCCCGAGAUGAGUUCUCCCUGAGACUUUAGGUCUCCUGAAGGAACGUUGAAGACGACGACGUUGAUAGGCCGGGUGUGUAAGCGCAGCGAUGCGUUGAGCUAACCGGUACUAAUGAACCGUGAGGCUUAACCUUACAACGCCGAAG